rnacentral:tRNA from 1 species
UUUGAGGUAGCUCAAUUGGUUAGAGCAUUUGGUUGAAAACCAAAAAGUUAUAGGUUCAAAUCCUAUUUUCGAAA